rnacentral:rRNA from 1 species
GAUGAACGCUGGCGGCGUGCCUAAUACAUGCAAGUCGAGCGAAUGGAUUAAGAGCUUGCUCUUAUGAAGUUAGCGGCGGACGGGUGAGUAACACGUGGGUAACCUGCCCAUAAGACUGGGAUAACUCCGGGAAACCGGGGCUAAUACCGGAUAACAUUUUGAACCGCAUGGUUCGAAAUUGAAAGGCGGCUUCGGCUGUCACUUAUGGAUGGACCCGCGUCGCAUUAGCUAGUUGGUGAGGUAACGGCUCACCAAGGCAACGAUGCGUAGCCGACCUGGGAGGGUGAUCGGCCACACUGGGACUGAGACACUGCCCAGACUCCUUCGUGAGGCAGCAGUAGGGAAUCUGCCGAAAUGGACGAAAGUCUGACGGAGCAACGCCGCGUGAGUGAUGAAGGCUUUCGGGUCGUAAAACUCUGUUGUUAGGGAAGAACAAGUGCUAGUUGAAUAAGCUGACACCUUGACGGUACCUAACCAGAAAGCCACGGCUAAUUACGUGCCAGCCGCCGCCGUAA